rnacentral:rRNA from 1 species
AGCGAACGCUGGCGGCAGGCCUAACACAUGCAAGUCGAACGAAGCCUUCGGGCUUAGUGGCGGACGGGUGAGUAACACGUGGGAACGUACCUUUUGGUUCGGAAUAACGCAGAGAAAUUUGCGCUAAUACCGAAUGAGCCCUUCGGGGGAAAGAUUUAUCGCCGAAAGAUCGGCCCGCGUUGGAUUAGGUAGUUGGUGUGGUAAAGGCGCACCAAGCCUACGAUCCAUAGCUGGUCUGAGAGGAUGAUCAGCCACACUGGGACUGAGACACGGCCCAGACUCCUACGGGAGGCAGCAGUGGGGAAUAUUGGACAAUGGGCGAAAGCCUGAUCCAGCAAUGCCGCGUGAGUGAUGAAGGCCUUAGGGUUGUAAAGCUCUUUCACCGGUGAAGAUAAUGACGGUAACCGGAGAAGAAGCCCCGGCUAACUUCGUGCCAGCCGCCGCUGUAA